GAUGAACGCUGGCGGCGUGCCUAACACAUGCAAGUCGAACGAAGAGGCCCCUUCGGGGGCACUUCAGUGGCGGACGGGUGAGUAACACGUAGGUAACCUGCCCCGAAGUGGGGAAUAACAGUCCGAAAGGACCGCUAAUACCCCAUGUGAUCGCAAGAUUAAAGUCCCCUUCGGGGGCGCUUCGGGAGGGGCCGUGCGGCCCAUCAGCUUGUUGGUAGGGUAACGGCCUACCAAGGCGACGACGGGUAGGGGACC
rnacentral:rRNA from 1 species